ensembl:lncRNA
UCAUACGAAGCAGAAGAGCACACAUCUUCUGACGAGCGGCGCUUACAUCACAAAGUGCAUCCAACAAACCAGCCAGUAACGUAUGCUUCUUUUUUUUAAAGAGGGAAAGAAACUGUAGUGAUUUGGGUACGGUAAAGUGAGGGAAGGUACCUAAAGCAAAAGAAACUUAAGAAUGGACCCCAAAGUUUCACCAAGUGCCCCUUCUGCUGGUGGAGAGGAGAAAUCGGGCAUGGAUAAUCAGCCUCCUCCGUACCAGAACAAUUAUGGUGCUGAUUGCCUGCUACCUCAAGGGGUUUUCCCCAACCAAUCUGGCUACCCUCCAGGGCAGCCUCACGAAGCUCCAUAUGGUCAGCCCUACCAGGUACCGUACCAGGGUAUGUACGCCGGCCAGCCCAUCGUGGUCGCACAGCCUACUAUGUAUGUGACGUCUGGACCACUUGCUCAGCCUUUGCCUGAUUACUUGGGUUAUUCCAUCUUCACACUAUUGUGCUGCUGCCUACCAAUAGGUAUUGCAGCACUCAUCUACUCUAUAAAUACACGAGAUGCCAACAUGAGCGGGAACAGACCUCAGGCAGAGAAGAGCUCCCACUUGGCACGCAUCUUGAACCACACGGCUCUAGGCCUCGGAAUUGUGGCUAUUGUUGUUUCUAUUGUGAUUGUUGUCAUCACAACCAUUUCUGCUUCCUAAACUACUUUGCACAAUCACUGCCCACUUAAAUAAGCUGGCUCUAGCCAGAGAUCAGGGCAAAAUUCAAAAAACAUAAAGACUGUAAUAAUGUAAGAGUGUAUAUGUAAUAAUCUGCCUUUUAAAAUCAUCACUAACAUUCUAUAAAUUAUUUACUUUUGCUGAGGAUUGAAAGAUUUACCUAUUAGCAAUGUGAAUAAUACAUAGAACAAUUAUAUAAAACUGUCCGAUGUCUGAAAUGUACCAAAAAAAAUAAAAAAUAAGUGCAUUAAAAUGCAUUACCAACAUAUAAUGACUUACUGUUUUCAAAAUUGAAAUAAAUAUCCUUACUGGGAGCCAAUUACAAUUAUUUUUGUUCUAGAACAAAAGAAACAAAAGAUGUUUUUUCUUUUUCUUUCAUCUACCACACUAUGCAAAUAUCUUGG